CUACUCAUUCAACCCUGAAAAAAAUCUAAAUAAAUUGCAAAUAUCAAACUUUUAACAACGACUGGACAACAAAGUGUGAAUAUUCUACCCUGAUCAAGUGCUUGAGUCGUUGUUUCCUGGCGGACCUUUUAAGGUGACGGACACAUUGAUCCAGACAAGCAGCAACAAUGGUAGAAAACCCAGCGUGUAAGCUUGCUUCAUCACGAAACUUGGUCAAACAUUUGUGAGGCCCUCCAGUGACCGCACGUCACUGCUAUCUAUACCCACCCUUGCAUGAUAAGGGGUCCAAACAUACCUCCAGGAUGACAAGUGACCUGCUGAGGAAGCUGAAGGUCCAAUUACAGCGAGCGGUGUGCUGUGACAGCGCGCGGGGAGGAUGCAGUGUCUCAAGAUGACCCGCGGCUGACGUAAGCGGCCGGGAGCAGGAGAGGAGAGAGGAUACGGACGUGACUGAAGAGUCACGUUCUACUGGAGAGAAAACUUUUGUUGAAACAUUAUUAUUAAAACCUUGUUCAAAC